UCCUAGCCCUGCAGCGACAUCCUUUUUUGUGAUUGCGGUGGCAGAAAAGUGAAAAUGAUAAAUUAAUGUUGUUCGCAAUCACAAAAAAGAUAUAGCGGAAAGCAGGUAGAAAA
rnacentral:sRNA from 1 species